AGCAGCCGCGGUAAUUCCAGCUCCAAUAGCGUAUAUUAAAGUUGUUGCAGUUAAAAAGCUCGUAGUUGAACUUCAGGCCUGGCUGGACGGUCCGCCUUCCGGGCGAGCACUGUCUGUGGUCGGGUCCUACCUUCUGGCGAAGCGUCAUGGUCUUUAGUGGCUGUGGCGGGGAACCAGGACUUUUACUGUGAAAAAUUAGAGUGUUCAAAGCAGGCAAGCGCUUGGAUACAUUAGCAUGGAAUAAUGGAAUAGGACAAUGGUUCUAUUUGUUGGUUUCUAGGACCGUUGUAAUGAUUAAUAGGGAUAGUUGGGGGCAUUAGUAUUCAAUUGUCAGAGGUGAAAUUCUUGGAUUUAUUGAAGACUAACUACUGCGAAAGCAUUUGCCAAGGAUGUUUUCAUUAAUCAAGAACGAAAGUUAGGGGAUCGAAGACGAUCAGAUACCGUCGUAGU
rnacentral:rRNA from 1 species